rnacentral:rRNA from 1 species
UCGGGUGAGUAAUGUAUCGGAACGUACCUUUCAGUGGGGGAUAACGUAGCGAAAGUUACGCUAAUACCGCAUAUUCUGUGAGCAGGAAAGCAGGGGAUCGCAAGACCUUGCGCUGAUUGAGCGGCCGAUAUCAGAUUAGCUAGUUGGUGAGGUAAAGGCUCACCAAGGCGACGAUCUGUAGCGGGUCUGAGAGGAUGAUCCGCCACACUGGAACUGAGACACGGUCCAGACUCCUACGGGAGGCAGCAGUGGGGAAUUUUGGACAAUGGGCGCAAGCCUGAUCCAGCCAUGCCGCGUGAGUGAAGAAGGCCUUCGGGUUGUAAAGCUCUUUCAGCCGGGAAGAAAACGCAUGGGUUAAUACCCUGUGUGGAUGACGGUACCGGAAUAAGAAGCACCGGCUAACUACGUGCCAGCAGCCGCGGUAAUACGUAGGGUGCGAGCGUUAAUCGGAAUUACUGGGCGUAAAGCGUGCGCAGGCGGUUUGUUAAGAUAGGCGUGAAAUCCCCGGGCUCAACCUGGGAACUGCGUUUAUGACUGGCAGGCUAGAGUAUGGCAGAGGGGGGUGGAAUUCCACGUGUAGCAGUGAAAUGCGUAGAGAUGUGGAGGAACACCGAUGGCGAAGGCAGCCCCCUGGGCCAAUACUGACGCUCAUGCACGAAAGCGUGGGUAGCAAACAGGAUUAGAUACCCUGGUAGUCCACGCCCUAAACGAUGUCAACUAGGUGUUGGGUGGGUAAAACCAUUUAGUACCGGAGCUAACGCGUGAAGUUGACCGCCUGGGGAGUACGGCCGCAAGGUUAAAACUCAAAGGAAUUGACGGGGACCCGCACAAGCGGUGGAUGAUGUGGAUUAAUUCGAUGCAACGCGAAAAACCUUACCUACCCUUGACAUGUCCAGAAGCCCUUAGAGAUUUGGGUGUGCCCGAAAGGGAACUGGAACACAGGUGCUGCAUGGCUGUCGUCAGCUCGUGUCGUGAGAUGUUGGGUUAAGUCCCGCAACGAGCGCAACCCUUGUCGUUAAUUGCCAUCAUUCAGUUGGGCACUUUAACGAGACUGCCGGUGACAAACCGAAGGAAGGUGGGGAUGACGUCAAGUCCUCAUGGCCCUUAUGGGUAGGGCUUCACACGUCAUACAAUGGUCGGUACAAAGGGUUGCCAACCCGCGAGGGGGAGCUAAUCCCAGAAAGCCGAUCGUAGUCCGGAUCGUAGGCUGCAACUCGCCUGCGUGAAGUCGGAAUCGCUAGUAAUCGUGGAUCAGCAUGUCACGGUGAAUACGUUCCCGGGUCUUGUACACACCGCCCGUCACACCAUGGGAGCGGGUUCCGCCAGAAGUAGGUAGCCUAACCGCAAGGAGGGCGCUUACCACGGCGGGGUUCGUGACUGGGGUGAAGUCGAAACAAGGUA